AUGUCACCCGAAGGAAAUGACGCCGCCAACUACGAUGAGGUCUCCGAGAUCCCUGGCUUGAGCCAGCACUCGUUCGACUGCUUAGGGAGCUCUUUGGCUAGAGUGGCCUUGCAGUUUCGGCUUGGGGCGGCGAAUUGUCUUGGUGCCAAGCUAAUAAAAUUCUUUGCCGAGAAUGCCAUGGUUCUUGAACAAAUGUUCAUCGAAGAUGGAAACGCAAAGUUGUGGGAGCACAUUAGCUACAAGGUUGAGAAAUUGAUUUCUGAUUCAUCCAUAAGGAGGAAGCCUGGAGCGUCAAGCUUUGUUGUGUUGCCCUUAAGAGGUGAUUUGACUAUUAAUAGUGACAAUUAA
rnacentral:rRNA from 1 species